rnacentral:rRNA from 1 species
CCCCUCCUGAGUCCGAGGGCAACUCUUUACCAAUCGACGGGCACCUCCCGGAGGGAACGCGCCUCUUCCAUCACGAUUUCGCUGCCGCGAGCGGGAAAAGUAGGGGACCAAACCGGGAUAAGUAACCCCUGUUCUCUCCCGCCGUAACCCAGGGGGGCCCAGGUCGUCGCGCCCCUUGACCCUUGGCUGCCCGAGGUGACGCCAUAAGCACCCCCCCCGGGGGGUACCCCCGCAAAGGUUAAACUCCAAAGGAAUUGACGGGGGCCCGCACAAGCGGUGGGAGCAUGUGUUUUAAUUGAAAGCAACGCGAAGACCCUUACCAGUUCUUGACAUCUUUGACCAUCCUAGAGAUAGGAAUUUCCCCUUCGGGGGACAGAGUGACAGGUGGUGCAUGGUUGUCGUCAGCUCGUGUCGUGAGAUGUUGGGUUAAGUCCCGCAACGAGCGCAACCUUUGAUCUUAGUUGCCAGCAUUCAGUUGGGCACUCUAAGGUGACUGCCGGUGACAAACCGGAGGAAGGUGGGGAUGACGUCAAGUCAGUAUGGCCCUUACGGCCAGGGCUGCACACGUACUACAAUGCCCGGUACAAAGGGAAGCAAGACCGUCAGGUGGAGCCAAUCCCAGAAAACCGGGCCCAGUUCAGAUUGUCGUCUGCAACUCGACGGCAUGAAGUUGGAAUCGCUAGUAAUGGCGCAUCAGCUACGGCGCCGUGAAUACGUUCCCAGGCCUCGUACACACCGCCCGUCACAUCAUGGAAGCCGGUCGCACCCGAAGUGCCUGAGCCAACCGCAAGGAGGCAGGGCCCUAAGGUGUAGCUGGUAACUGGGAUGAAGUCGUAACAAGGUAAAUGCCA